rnacentral:lncRNA from 1 species
GAGAAGUUCAUGCCAGAGAGGUUCUCGAAAAGAUAUCAGUAACGAUGAAGAUAGUGGUUUAGCAUGCAGAGGAAUUCGUGGAAUCGUGGCCGCUAACAUCUGACCAAUUGUCUUCUUGUUGGGAGAACAGCCGAUAGGGCCAUAGAACGGUAGAACCUCAAGGAUAUAGAUUGCCUGGUUUGCACGUCUCGUAUAGUCGUCAUGGAUGUCUGGCUUUCAGCUGAGAUGUCAG